UUAGAGUUUGAUCCUGGCUCAGGAUGAACGCUAGCGGCAGGCUUAACACAUGCAAGUCGAGGGGCAGCAUGGGAGUAGCAAUACUUCUGAUGGCGACCGGCGCACGGGUGCGUAACGCGUAUGCAACCUACCUGUAACAGGGGGAUAACACUGAGAAAUCGGUACUAAUACCGCAUAACACUAUGAGAGGCAUCUCUUGUGGUUGAAAGUUUCGGCGGUUACAGAUGGGCAUGCGUUGUAUUAGCUGGUUGGUAAGGUAACGGCUUACCAAGGCGACGAUACAUAGGGGGACUGAGAGGUUAACCCCCCACAUUGGUACUGAGACACGGACCAAACUCCUACGGGAGGCAGCAGUGAGGAAUAUUGGUCAAUGGACGAAAGUCUGAACCAGCCAUGCCGCGUGCAGGAAGACGGCUCUAUGAGUUGUAAACUGCUUUUGUACAAGGGUAAACCUGAAUACGUGUAUUCAGCUGAAAGUACUGUACGAAUAAGGAUCGGCUAACUCCGUGCCAGCAGCCGCGGUAAUACGGAGGAUCCAAGCGUUAUCCGGAUUUAUUGGGUUUAAAGGGUGCGUAGGCGGAUUGAUAAGUUAGAGGUGAAAUGUCCGGGCUCAACUCGGGAACUGCCUCUAAUACUGUUGAUCUAGAGAGUAGAUGCGGUAGGCGGAAUGUAUGGUGUAGCGGUGAAAUGCUUAAGAGAUUAUACAGAACACCGAUUGCGAAAGCAGCUUACCAAUCUAUAUCUGACGUUGAGGCACGAAAGCGUGGGGAGCAAACAGGAUUAGAUACCCUGGUAGUCCACGCAGUAAACGAUGAUAGCUCGUUGUCGGCGAUACACAGUCGGUGACUAAGAGAAAUCGAUAAGCUAUCCACCUGGGGAGUACGUUCGCAAGAAUGAAACUCAAAGGAAUUGACGGGGGCCCGCACAAGCGGAGGAACAUGUGGUUUAAUUCGAUGAUACGCGAGGAACCUUACCCGGGCUUGAAAGUUAGUGACUGGUCUGGAAACAGGUCUUCCCUUCGGGGCACGAAACUAGGUGCUGCAUGGUUGUCGUCAGCUCGUGCCGUGAGGUGUCGGGUUAAGUCCCAUAACGAGCGCAACCCCUACUGAUAGUUGCCAUCAGGUCAAGCUGGGCACUCUAUCGGGACUGCCGGUGUAAGCCGGAGGAGGGUGGGGAUGACGUCAAAUCAGCACGGCCCUUACGUCCGGGGCGACACACGUGUUACAAUGGUAGGUACAGAGGGCAGCUACCCAGCGAUGGGGUGCAAAUCUCGAAAGCCUAUCUCAGUUCGGAUUGGAGGCUGAAACUCGCCUCCAUGAAGUUGGAUUCGCUAGUAAUCGCGCAUCAGCCAUGGCGCGGUGAAUACGUUCCCGGGCCUUGCACACACCGCCCGUCA
rnacentral:rRNA from 1 species